rnacentral:rRNA from 1 species
AGCCCUUCGGGGUGGAUUAGUGGCGAACGGGUGAGUAACACGUGGGCAAUCUGCCCUGCACUCUGGGACAAGCCCUGGAAACGGGGUCUAAUACCGGAUACUGAUCGCCUUGGGCAUCCUUGGUGAUCGAAAGCUCCGGCGGUGCAGGAUGAGCCCGCGGCCUAUCAGCUUGUUGGUGAGGUAAUGGCUCACCAAGGCGACGACGGGUAGCCGGCCUGAGAGGGCGACCGGCCACACUGGGACUGAGACACGGCCCAGACUCCUACGGGAGGCAGCAGUGGGGAAUAUUGCACAAUGGGCGAAAGCCUGAUGCAGCGACGCCGCGUGAGGGAUGACGGCCUUCGGGUUGUAAACCUCUUUCAGCAGGGAAGAAGCGAAAGUGACGGUACCUGCAGAAGAAGCGCCGGCUAACUACGUGCCAGCAGCCGCGGUAAUACGUAGGGCGCGAGCGUUGUCCGGAAUUAUUGGGCGUAAAGAGCUCGUAGGCGGCUUGUCGCGUCGGUUGUGAAAGCCCGGGGCUUAACCCCGGGUCUGCAGUCGAUACGGGCAGGCUAGAGUUCGGUAGGGGAGAUCGGAAUUCCUGGUGUAGCGGUGAAAUGCGCAGAUAUCAGGAGGAACACCGGUGGCGAAGGCGGAUCUCUGGGCCGAUACUGACGCUGAGGAGCGAAAGCGUGGGGAGCGAACAGGAUUAGAUACCCUGGUAGUCCACGCCGUAAACG